UGGGGAAUUUUGGACAAUGGGCGCAAGCCUGAUCCAGCCAUGCCGCGUGAGUGAAGAAGGCCUUCGGGUUGUAAAGCUCUUUCGGUGAAGACGAAACGGUUCGCGUUAAUAACGCGGACUAAUGACGGUACUCACAGAAGAAGCACCGGCUAACUACGUGCCAGCAGCCGCGGUAAUACGUAGGGUGCAGGCGUUAAUCGGAAUUACUGGGCGUAAAGGGUGCGCAGGCGGUUUGCUAAGACAGGUGUGAAAUCCCCGGGCUUAACCUGGGAAUUGCGCUUGUAACUGGCAGGCUAGAGUGUGGCAGAGGGGGGUGGAAUUCCACGUGUAGCAGUGAAAUGCGUAGAUAUGUGGAGGAACACCGAUGGCGAAGGCAGCCCCCUGGGUUAACACUGACGCU
rnacentral:rRNA from 1 species